rnacentral:lncRNA from 1 species
CACUUUGCUGCAGGAAAUCUACUUUUGCUCUGUGCUGCAAUUUCUGACUCCUCUUUGUUCUACAUUGGGAAGAGAGACAAACUUGGGAAAGUCUGAGGGUGAGCUGGUGGCCCCAGAUCCAAUGUAACACCUUGAUAAAUGCCAGUCUAGCAGAACACAGGUCAAAAGAGUACAGGGGUCACUAUGAAGUUAAAGGAAAUGACAACAUUAAACAUCAUAGAAUGCAAGGAACAUUUUCUUGGCUAUCAGUGUGCGUGACAGUGUACCAAUUAUGGAGGAAUAAAAAAGUAAUAUGAAUUUGCUCAUGUCCAAUCUAAUCUAUUAGGAGGCACAGGUUAUGGGAGACAGGAGAUAAUGAACAGUCAGAUCAGAGAGAGACUUCAAGUCUAUGCCAAAGUAUUGGUCUUAACCAAAUUUUGAUUAAGGUUGUGCCUUAGAGGGACCACAAUGUGCAGGAUGGACUGGGGGAGAAGCAGGUUGGAAGUGUCCAGAGCAGUGAGGAAGCUUCCACAAUCAUCUUAGCAAAAGGCACUGGAAGGAAAGCGUUCGGAGAUGAACAGCAGACUUUCUAAAGGAAUAAGGUUACUAGAAGAAAUGUCAACCAGCUAUGCAGCACGAAUCUGAUGUUGGCAGCCUGGAUGGCCAGAAGACUCAGCGAAGUGGGACGCCACAGGAUGCCCUGACAUGAACUGUACGUUACCAAGGGGAGGCAAAGUCAGUAGUACAUUAUGGAGUACAUGGGCUUCCAGGGAUUUUGCUGUCGGAGUAGAAGAAAGUGUGCAACAGAGACCCAGUGAGGAGACACAGACGCCAGAAGUGAAGAACUUCAGGAUGUAAUUCAAGUGUGUUGACAUGAAAGCGUGAGAGUCCAGUUGUCCAUGUAGCCAGGAUUCAAAACCACCACCAGCACCACAUCAAAAGGGCUGGGAUGCAGCCGAGUGUGGAGUGCUUGCUAGCAUGUGAG